UACGUAGGGUGCAAGCGUUGUCCGGAAUUAUUGGGCGUAAAGAGCUCGUAGGCGGUUUGUCGCGUCUGCCGUGAAAGUCCGGGGCUCAACUCCGGAUCUGCGGUGGGUACGGGCAGACUAGAGUUCGGCAGGGGAGACUGGAAUUCCUGGUGUAGCGGUGAAAUGCGCAGAUAUCAGGAGGAACACCGGUGGCGAAGGCGGGUCUCUGGGCCGAUACUGACGCUGAGGAGCGAAAGCGUGGGGAGCAAACAGG
rnacentral:rRNA from 1 species